CAGAGGAGGGAGUGCUUACAGGUAGAGAUGACACCCCAGAAGCCUCCUGGUCUGGGGAGGACGGCAGAAGUUUGCCCGGCCUCCUGGAAGGGAGCAUUUGGAAGGCCCUAAAGAAAACUAGGCUUUCCUGGGGCUGCAGCAGAUGAAGAAAAUAGCUGUGCCUUGGGGAUCCUGAGUGAAAGGGGCCAUGAUGGGCCUGGAGCCGCCUCCACCUCUUCUCCUCCUUUUUACCUGGCUCCCAGCAGGAUGCAUCUCUUUGCUGGUGACGGUACAGGAUACCGAACGCUAUGUCACACUGUUUGCCUCCAUCGUCCUCAAGUGUGAUUAUACCACAUCUGCCCAGCUGCAGGAUGUGGUGGUCACCUGGCGCUUCAAGUCCUUCUGCAAGGACCCAAUUCUAGAUUACUACUCUGCAUCAUAUCAAGCAGCUUUAGCUCUGGGUCAAGACCCAUCCAAUGAUUGCAAUGACAGCCAAAGAACUGUCCGAAUUGUGGCUCAGAGGCGUGGGCAGAAUGAGCCAGUUUUGGGUGUGGAGUACCGGCAGCGCAAGAUUACUAUCCAGAACCGAGCAGAUCUUGUGAUUAAUGAGGUGAUGUGGUGGGACCAUGGAGUCUAUUACUGUGCCAUCGAGGCUCCAGGGGACACCUCAGGAGACCCAGAUAAGGAAGUGAAGCUCGUUGUUCUCCACUGGCUGACGGUGAUUUUCAUCAUCCUUGGUGCCAUCCUAUUCAUCGUGCUGGUCAGUGUGUGUUGGUGCCAGUGUUGUCCCCAAUAUUGCUGCUGCUAUGUCCGCUGUCCUUGCUGUCCAAGAAGGUGCUGCUGCCCCGAGGAAGCCCUGGCCCGGCACCGGUAUAUGAAGCAGGCUCGGGCACUAAUCCCCCAGAUGAUGGAAAAACCCCUCUACUGGGGAGCUGACAGGAGCUCCCAGGUUUCAUCUUACCAAAUGAACCCGCUGCUGCAGCGAGAUUUUUCCCCACCGGCCAGCUUCCCUCAGAUGCCAGCGCCCCCAACACCAGCUCACCCCCCUGCUGCCAAUGGAGUGCUAGAGUACUUAGAGAAGGAACUACAGAAACUCAACCCUGCCCAGUGCCCCCCACCAGACCACAAAGCAAGAAUUGGUCGUCACUGCAGCAUGCUGUCCUCCCUGGGCUCAGAAAUAGUGGAACGCAGGAUUAUCCACCUUCCCCCCUUGGUCAGAGACUUUCCCUCCUCCCAGAGGACCAGUGAAUCAUCUCACCAGCAGUUUUCCAGGCAACCUUGGGCUCUGGAGGAAAUGAGAGAGGAGAGAAGACAGAAUCAUUACUCUGAUUUCCGUCGAGGGUCCUUGGAACCGUGGCCAAAGCCCAAAGCCUCAGAGCAUAAGGGUCGUGAGAACUAUGAGAGUGGGAGACAUUGGCACUCUAGGGAGGAAGUCUCACCCAAGUCCAGGCCAUACUCUGAUAGCCUGAGUGAUGAUGGGUCCUAUUCCCGGGAGACGCACUGGCGCCUCGACCGCUCAACACAACGGAGACGCUCUCCAGGGAGGCGCCAUCGGCCAGGCCAAAGGGAGAGAGCCUUCAGGCACCGCAGCCACCGACAUCGAAGCUAUUCCCCGCCAUCCUGCCACAGCUCUUGGAGUUCAGAAGAAGAGAAGGAGCAGCAGUAUAAUCAAAGCUGGAAAUUCCACCGUCCUCCUCAACCCCCAAGCUGGACAGAAGAGAAGCCACCAAGCUACCGCUCUCUAGAUGUCAUUCCAGGCAAGAAUGUCAGGAAAAAAGGGAAUGUGGAAAGGCGUUCGUAUUCAGAAAAGAGGUCCUCACCAAACUGCCAAAAGGGCCUGUGACCCAACAGACGUUAUAGACCCCUGGCCUACAAGAAAUGCAGGAUUUGGAUGGGCAGAGAGGAAGGAAAGAAGGCAUUUCAGGAGAGAGAAAGCUCCCAUAGUGGAAGGAGUGUCAUCAUCUAAUACCUAGAAUCUCCUUCUUGACUGUUCUAUCAUGAUGGACAACAAUUAAUUUUCUGACUCAGAAGCCCUGGCGAAUCUGAAUGUGUGCUUCUGGAUUGGACCUCAGGAACCAAGCUGAAGUGGCAUGAUGGUGUGAGACUACUACAUUUGACCUUUGACUUCUCCUUUCAUUCAUUUAACAAGCAGUUGUUAAGUGUCUACUAUGUGCCGGCUACUGUUCUAGGCACUGAGAAUACAAAGGCAAAAUCAGCCAAUCAACAAGCAUUUAUUAAACGCCUACUAUGCUUUAUAAGUGCAGACCUAGGAAGUGGGGUUACAAAGACAGACAAUAAUGAGGAUAUGGGUCCGACCAAGAACUGAGUUUCAUGAGUCUCCGACUCAGUUGAAUGUAUCAGAAGCAUGGGUUAAUCUCAGUUAGAACUCAGGAAGCUUGAUGAAGCAAUUGAACACCCAAGAGGAACAAGAGAGAUGGCCUGUGUGUGCCUCCAUGUAUACAGCAGCUCUAAGGGAUAGUUAUAAGGGGAGUAUUUUGUUAAAACUUAGUCUCCACCUGUUUCAUCCCUAGAUUUAUAACCUCAUGGCUCAGUUCUUUCUGUUUUAGGAUCACAUCAGUUUAAAGGUAUUGUUCAAGGGAAAAUAAAAGACUCUUAUGGUUUG